GAUGAACGCUGGCGGCGUGCUUAACACAUGCAAGUCGAACGAACCUUCGGGUUAGUGGCGGACGGGUGAGUAACGCGUGAGAAUCUGCCCUCAGGAGGGGGACAACAGCUGGAAACGGCUGCUAAUACCCCAUAUGCCGCGAGGUGAAAUGAAUUUCGCCUGAGGAUGAGCUCGCGUCUGAUUAGCUAGUUGGUGUGGGUAAUGGCUCACCAAGGCAUCGAUCAGUAGCUGGUCUGAGAGGAUGAUCAGCCACACUGGGACUGAGACACGGCCCAGACUCCUACGGGAGGCAGCAGUGGGGAAUUUUCCGCAAUGGGCGAAAGCCUGACGGAGCAACGCCGCGUGAGGGAUGAAGGCCUCUGGGCUGUAAACCUCUUUUAUCAAGGAAGAAGAUCUGACGGUACUUGAUGAAUAAGCCACGGCUAAUUCCGUG
rnacentral:rRNA from 1 species